GGGGAAUUUUCCGCAAUGGGGGCAACCCUGACGGAGCAACGCCGCGUGGGGGAGGAAUGUCUGUGGAUUGUAAACCCCUUUUCUCAGGGAAGAAGUUCUGACGGUACCUGAGGAAUCAGCAUCGGCUAACUCCGUGCCAGCAGCCGCGGUAAGACGGAGGAUGCAAGCGUUAUCCGGAAUUAUUGGGCGUAAAGCGUCCGUAGGCGGUUAAUCAAGUCUGUUGUCAAAGACUGCAGCUCAACUGUGGAAAGGCAAUGGAAACUGAAUAACUGGAGUGCGGUAGGGGUAGAGGGAAUUCCCAGUGUAGCGGUGAAAUGCGUAGAUAUUGGGAAGAACACCAGUGGCGAAGGCGCUCUACUGGGCCGUAACUGACGCUGAGGGACGAAAGCUAGGGGAGCGAAAGGGAUUAGAUACCCCUGUAGUCCUAGCUGUAAACGAUGGAUACUAGGUGUUGGACGUAUCGACCCGUUCAGUACCGCAGCCAACGCGAUAAGUAUCCCGCCUGGGGAGUACGCACGCAAGUGUGAAACUCAAAGGAAUUGACGGGGGCCCGCACAAGCGGUGGAGUAUGUGGUUUAAUUCGAUGCAACGCGAAGAACCUUACCAGGGCUUGACAUCCCUCGAAUCCUCGAGAAAUUGAGGAGUGCCUUCGGGAGCGAGGAGACAGGUGGUGCAUGGCUGUCGUCAGCUCGUGUCGUGAGAUGUUGGGUUAAGUCCCGCAACGAGCGCAACCCACGUCCUUAGUUGCCAUCAUUCAGUUGGGCACUCUGGGGAGACUGCCGGGGACAACUCGGAGGAAGGUGUGGAUGACGUCAAGUCAUCAUGCCCCUUACGUUCUGGGCUACACACGUACUACAAUGCUUCGGACAAAGGGCAGCAAGCGUGCGAGCGCAAGCUAAUCCCAUAAACCGAGGCACAGUUCAGAUUGCAGGCUGCAACUCGCCUGCAUGAAGGAGGAAUCGCUAGUAAUCGCAGGUCAGCAUACUGCGGUGAAUACGUUCCCGGGCCUUGUACACACCGCCCGUCACACCAUGGGAGUUGGCCACGCCCGAAGUCGUUACUCUAACCUUUCGAGGAGGAGGGCGCCGAAGGUGGGGCUGAUGACUGGGGUGAAGUCGUAACAAGGUAACC
rnacentral:rRNA from 1 species